GAAAAAGCAUUGACGGAACAAGUAGUGAAAUUGAAACAUACAGAGAGAACGGUAGAUGGUGUGAGCCGUUUAUGGAAAGAUUUCAUGAAGACCACUCCUGAGCUGUGCGCGAAAGAAGCGUCACCGUGUAGCUGCGUUAUAAGCCAAAGAGUAAAAGAAUUAAGGUGGAACCGUGUAUAAAGCACCCUUAGA
rnacentral:ncRNA from 1 species